GCAAAGCCAGACUAUAGCGUCAAUCAGGCGGCGUCAGCCGCGAUGUGAGCCUUGACGAUCUUGUCAGGAUUUUGCACCGGCUCCCCGCGCUUGAUCUUGUCGACGUUUUCCAUGCCUGACGUCACCUUGCCCCACACUGUGUACUGCUUGUCGAGGAAACGUGCAUCGUCGAAGCAGAUGAAAAACUGCGAGUUGGCCGAAUCGGGAUUGGCCGCGCGUGCCAUGGAUGCCGUGCCACGCACAUGCGGCUCCGCAUUGAAUUCGGCCUUGAGGUUCGGAUACUUCGAUCCACCGGUGCCGGUGC
rnacentral:misc_RNA from 1 species